GGGAUUUCACAAACCGAUUUCAAGUCUUCUCCUUCAGACCCAGGGGCUGGAGAAGCUGUCCCUCCAAAACUCCCUGGCACCUACUGGGGGGACAUGUACCUCUCUAAAUGGGCCCUGGAGUCAUGAUGGAGUUGAGCGAAGCUGCGGGGAAAUAUGUCAUUUAAUCCCAGGGCUACUGAAGUCCCUUUUAUCAAACGUCGUGAUGCUGGAAUUAUACUGCUGUAAAAGCGACUGAGUACUUAAAAGUAUCCAACAUCAGGCAAAUGUAUAGAUUGGAGGAAUGGGUGUAAAAUGAAGGCACGUACAAACUAAUCACAGGACCGUGAAAACCCCAAGAGGAUUAGAUAAAUAUAAAUAGAUGUGCAUUAAAAAAAAAAAAAAAAAAAGCACGAUAAAACUCUAGCUGCUGUAUUCACACAAGGAGAACAGACAGCGUGUGCAUGUUUGUGUGCAAUGCCAAAAAGAGCAGCCUUAAGGUUGACCUACUGCAAUCUGCACUGAGCUCCUCAGACAAUAGACAAGUUCAAAUGUCAAAAAAUCUAAUAAUAAUAACCAGAGCUGCCAAACUGCACGAACUGUUUUCUGGUGUAUCGCAAUUAUUCACCCUCAUAUCCACUAAAAGACUUCCAGUCCUCAUGCGUGUAAAAGAAAAUCUAUGCAAUGCAUAUGAAUUUUUUUUUAUCACAUGUGAAACGCCAUUGAGAUGGCAAGCACGCAAAUCGAAAUGAUAUCAUGUCUAAUAAAAGCAGGGCUAAGGUUUUCACAGUCUCUUUUAAAAGACUCCAACUUGUAAAUCCCCUUUUAAUGUCGCUACAUGCACAAUUAUUCUUAUUAAUAAAAAUCUACAUGUUUAAGGGUCUGGAUUGAAACUAUGUAUCCCUCUGAUUUUAACAUCGGUGGGAGCAUUAGGUUUCCAUCAUAUGUAAUGUGUCUACGUUGAGCUCAAGUCAACAGAUAGAUUGUUCCAUUCAUUUGGCAACUCUCAUUACAGUCCGUGUGAGGUGAACCCUGAGCAAGACACGUUGGGUAAUAUCAAAAUUAUGCAGCUGGGAAAUAAAGGAAUCUUGCUUUGCAUGUGCGGUUCUGUAUUAUUGUUCUAAUUUAUUACAGAACCGAAAUGCUUUGUUAUGCUCAAAACAACAAAUAAGGUUCUGAGUGAAGCCUUCAGAAUAAAAGAUUGGUUAGUGCAAUAUCCCUAGUGCAGCUAUCAACGUGGUCAUAAGAACUAUGAACUACAGCGUGGGUAAGCUUGAAAAACCCAGAGCAGAUCGCAUUAGCCAAGAACGCUACAUAUCUGGAAGCCAGUCAACUUCACGUUUGCAGCUGACUGCUGUAUUAUGCACGAAUGUGUUUUACAUAUAGCAGACUGUAUACGGAAUAUGUCUUUAUGUUUAACAUUUUAAUUUGUAAAUGCUAAUUAGGCAGUUGGUCUCCACGGUUAUAUUAGUACAUACCUAAUCAUUUCCCACUAUAAGUAAAUGAAUACUAAAUACGGUAAACACUUUCUUUUUUACUAUUU